rnacentral:rRNA from 1 species
CCUACGGGUGGCAGCAGUGGGGGAUAUUGGACAAUGGGGGAAACCCUGAUCCAGCGACGCCGCGUGAGUGAAGAAGUAUUUCGGUAUGUAAAGCUCUAUCAGCAGGGAAGAAAGAAAUGCCGGUCCCUGAGUAAGAAGCCUCGGCUAACUACGUGCCAGCAGCCGCGGUAAUACGUAGGGGGCAAGCGUUCUCCGGAAUUACUGGGUGUAACGGGUGCGUAGACGGUAAUGCAAGUCUGGAGUGAAAGGCGGGGGGCCAACCCCCGGACUGCUCUGGAAACUGUGUAACUGGAGUGCAGGAGAGGCAGGCGGAAUGCGUAGUGUAGUGGUGAAAUGCGUAGAUAUUAGGAGGAACACCAGUGGCGAAGGCGGCCUGCUGGACUGCAACUGACGUUGAGGCUCGAAAGCGUGGGGAGCAAACAGGAUUAGAUACCCGAGUAGUC